rnacentral:rRNA from 1 species
UACGUAGGGGGCAAGCGUUGUCCGGAAUCAUUGGGCGUAAAGCGCGUGUAGGCGGCCCGAUAAGUCCGCUGUGAAAGUCCAGGGCUCAACCCUGGAAUGCCGGUGGAUACUGUCGGGCUCGAGUCCGGAAGAGGCGAGUGGAAUUCCUGGUGUAGCGGUGAAAUGCGCAGAUAUCAGGAGGAACACCGAUGGCGAAGGCAGCUCGCUGGGACGGUACUGACGCUGAGGCGCGAAGGCGUGGGGAGCGAACGGG